rnacentral:rRNA from 1 species
CAGUCGCCGCGGGAAUACGAAGGGUGCAAGCGUUGCUCGGAAUUACUGGGCGUAAAGCGCACGCAGGCGGUCUGUUAAGUCAGAUGUGAAAUCCCCGGGCUUAACCUGGGAACUGCAUUUGAAACUGGCAGGCUUGGGUCUUGUAGAGGGGGGUAGAAUUCCAGGUGUAGCGGUGAAAUGCGUAGAGAUCUGGAGGAAUACCGGUGGCGAAGGCGGCCCCCUGGACAAAGACUGACGCUCAGGUGCGAAAGCGUGGGGAGCAAACAGGAUUAGAUACCCGCGUAGUCCCUGUCUCUUAUAC